GCAAGAGUCAGGAUAAGAAGUAUGACACUCACAGUGAAAGCACAAAACAUCAAGCCAACAGUUCAGGACUAGUCAUUCAAAUGGACUAAAGGUGGGGGAGAAAAAAUAAGAGUGGAUAAAAGAAAGAAAGAAAACAGAGAAAGGUGGGAAAAAAAAAACAAAGGAAGGAAGAGAGAAAAGAGAAUGAGAGGAAGAGAAGGAAGGGGAAAAACAAGAUUGACUUUACAGUAUGAGAUAUACUAUUAUAUAUUGUUAAAUAUGGAACUUCACACCAGGACACAAAAGGACUUCAAACUUUUAGAUUCCACAAGUAUGUGAAAAGAUGCAGUAUUUGUCUUUCUGUGCAUGGUUUACUUCACUUAUCAUCAUGUCCCUCAGGUUCAUCCACGUUGUUGCAAAUGACAGGAUUUCAUUCAUUUUUAAGACUGAAUAGUACUCCAUUAUGCAAAUAUACCAGAUUUUCAUUGUCUAUUCGUUCACUGAUGAACACGGGUUAAUCCUAUAUGUUGGCUAUUGUGAAUAAAGCUGCAAUGAAUAUGAGAGUACAGAUAUAUUCUUGACAUAUUAAUUUUAUUUUAUUUGGCAAUAUACCCAAUAGUAGCUAGAUCAUAUCAGAGUUCUAUUUUUAAUUUUUGAGGAAACUUCAUACUGUUUUUCAUAAUAGUUAUUACUAAUUUACACUCAGUAUACAAGAGUUCCCUUUUCUCCACAUUCUUUCCAAAAUUUGUUUCCUUUUCCCUUUUUGAUAACAGCUACUCUAACUGGGGUGAAAUAAUAUCUCACUGUGGUUUUAAUUUUCAUUUAUCUGAUUAAUGAUUUUGAGCUUUUUAAAAUAAAUACUUGUUGGCAAUUUGUAUGUCAUCUUUUGAGAAGUGUCUAUUAAAAUUUGUUUGCCUAUUU
rnacentral:lncRNA from 10 species